UAACACAUGCAAGUCGAGCGGUAACAGGAAUUAGCUUGCUAAUUUGCUGACGAGCGGCGGACGGGUGAGUAAUGCCUGGGAAUAUGCCUUGAUGUGGGGGAUAACUAUUGGAAACGAUAGCUAAUACCGCAUAAUGCCUACGGGCCAAAGAGGGGGAUCUUCGGACCUCUCGCGUCAAGAUUAGCCCAGGUGGGAUUAGCUAGUUGGUGGGGUAAUGGCUCACCAAGGCGACGAUCCCUAGCUGGUUUGAGAGGAUGAUCAGCCACACUGGAACUGAGACACGGUCCAGACUCCUACGGGAGGCAGCAGUGGGGAAUAUUGCACAAUGGGGGAAACCCUGAUGCAGCCAUGCCGCGUGUAUGAAGAAGGCCUUCGGGUUGUAAAGUACUUUCAGUUGUGAGGAAGGCGGUAACGUUAAUAGCGUUACCGUUUGACGUUAGCAACAGAGA
rnacentral:rRNA from 1 species